rnacentral:rRNA from 1 species
UACAGAGGGGGCAAGCGUUAUUCGGAAUUAUUGGGCGUAAAGGGCGCGUAGGCGGCCUGACAAGUGGAAGGUGAAAUCCCUCGGCUUAACCGAGGAACUGCCCUCCAAACUGUUUGGCUUGAGACCGGGAGAGGUGAGUGGAAUUCCCAGUGUAGCGGUGAAAUGCGUAGAUAUUGGGUGGAACACCGGUGGCGAAAGCGGCUCUCUGGCCCGGAUCUGACGCUGAGGCGCGAAAGCGUGGGGAGCAAACAGG